rnacentral:rRNA from 1 species
AUAUGCCGAGAGGUGAAACGAAUUUCGCCUGGGGAUGAGCUCGCGUCUGAUUAGCUUGUUGGUAGGGUAACGGCCUACCAAGGCUUCGAUCAGUAGCUGGUCUGAGAGGACGAUCAGCCACACUGGGACUGAGACACGGCCCAGACUCCUACGGGAGGCAGCAGUGGGGAAUUUUCCGCAAUGGGCGCAAGCCUGACGGAGCAACGCCGCGUGAGGGAUGAAGGCCUUUGGGCUGUAAACCUCUUUUCUCAAGGAAGAAGAUCUGACGGUACUUGAGGAAUAAGCCACGGCUAAUUCCGUGCCAGCAGCCGCGGUAAUACGGGAGUGGCAAGCGUUAUCCGGAAUUAUUGGGCGUAAAGCGUCCGCAGGCGGCCGUUUAAGUCUGUUGUUAAAUCGUGGAGCUCAACUCCAUCACGGCAAUGGAAACUGUUCGGCUUGAGUAUGGUAGGGGCAGAGGGAAUUUCCGGUGUAGCGGUGAAAUGCGUAGAUAUCGGGAAGAACACCAGUGGCAAAAGCGCUCUGCUGGGCCAUUACUGACGCUCAUGGACGAAAGCCAGGGGAGCGAAAGGGAUUAGAUACCCCUGUAGUCCUGGCCGUAAACGAUGAACACUAGAUGUUGGGGGAAUCGACCCCUCCGGUGUCGUAGCUAACGCGUUAAGUGUUCCGCCUGGGGAGUACGCACGCAAGUGUGAAACUCAAAGGAAUUGACGGGGGCCCGCACAAGCGGUGGAGUAUGUGGUUUAAUUCGAUGCAACGCGAAGAACCUUACCAAGGCUUGACAUCCUGCGAAUCUCCAAGAAACUGGAGAGUGCCUUCGGGAACGCAGUGACAGGUGGUGCAUGGCUGUCGUCAGCUCGUGUCGUGAGAUGUUGGGUUAAGUCCCGCAACGAGCGCAACCCACGUUUUUAGUUGCCAGCAUUCAGUUGGGCACUCUAGAAAGACUGCCGGUGACAAACCGGAGGAAGGUGUGGACGACGUCAAGUCAUCAUGCCCCUUACGCCUUGGGCUACACACGUACUACAAUGCUGCGGACAAAGAGUAGCGAUCUUGCAAAAGUUAGC